UACGAAGGGGGCUAGCGUUGUUCGGAAUUACUGGGCGUAAAGGGCGCGUAGGCGGUGUGUCAAGUCAGGCGUGAAAGCCCGGGGCUCAACCUGGGAACCGCGCUUGAGACUGGCACGCUAGAGUUCGGGAGAGGAUGGUGGAAUUCCCAGUGUAGAGGUGAAAUUCGUAGAUAUUGGGAAGAACACCGAUGGCGAAGGCAGCCAUCUGGACCGACACUGACGCUGAGGCGCGAAAGCGUGGGGAGCAAACAGG
rnacentral:rRNA from 1 species